AGAUGGGUCUGGACUGCUCUCCGACUGGCCUGUGUGCACCGUGUAAAGACAAACUGGGAUCAUGACAGGAGUUCCCUGGUGAUCAAUCCUCCAAAUUUCCAGCAGAUGGUGCUACAACACCUAACAGUAAAACAAGUGUAGAAAUGCGGAAGUCAAAACGUAGUUACAAAAAAAGUGUAGAAAUGCGGAAAUAAAAACGUAGUUAUAAAAAAAGUUCCCCAAAAACGUCGAUACUGUGUUGAAGACGAGCAGCUGCUGAACCCAGCUAUCAAAAGCGUAUUCUCCGUAGUGUAAAUGUAACCGACUGAGUAGGCAUAGUUAUAUAGCUCCUGUCACCCAAUUGCAGGCCUUCAAUGUGUUAAGCUGAGUAUUAUUGCACAGUUCCUGGAAAAGUCGUCCACUAUUACUUGGCUGGGCCUAGCUAGUUAACUUUAGCGCGCUCAAAGUGGUCAUAUUUAGCCAGCUAAACUCACUUUAAAAAUGCACAUAUUUAAUAUAAUUGAUUCAUAAUGUCAACAUGAAAAAUAAUGACAUGUCAUAUAGGCCGGUAAUACUACUGCACACCAGACCAACGAAAGGCAUGGUUUAGACAUAGCCUGGCAUUCUCCAGACCAAGGAUAGGCAAACUCCAGUCCUCGGGACAGUAUUUCAAAAACAUUUUGGGGGAUCAGAAUGAUCCGGAUUCUGUAAUCCUCAUUUUUGCUAUCCCGGACCAAAUCGAUCUGUCUGUUUUUGAACCGAUUUUCCAGAAAAUAAUUGGAUAGGAUCGUUCUGAUCCGGAACCACAAUAUCAAGGUCACAGAAUCCAGAUGUUCAGUGCUUUGAACAGACCUACACCUCGCCAUCUACUGGACAGAGCAUUCUAGUUGCUCUCUUCGCCAACCGGGGUUAUGAUGAGAAGCCAGAGGUUGCUCUGCCAAGUGGACUAAACGAUAAAGUGACUGGGACAGAGAAGUACGAGCAGUUCCAUUAUCAGCAUGUCAUUCUCCAGCUGCUCCAGCUGCGUACCCCCUCUAGCACCAGGGAAUUGUUGGGUGAAGAGUUGCCUGAGAAGUUCAUACCCUCACACUUGAUUUGUCCACUAACUAACAAGAUGUUUGUUGACCCAGUGAAGAACCAGGAGGGAACAGUGUACGAGCGAAAGGCCAUUGAGAAACAUCUGAAGAGGACAUGGCAUGGAACUGAUCCCAAGACAAACAAGUUACUGACAUUAACUGACCUCAAGCCCUACCAAGACAUGAGAAAAAUGGCGAGGGACUAUCGCAAACAGCAAAUUCAGUAGACAGAUGUUUAAAACACAAUGUGAUAGCCAAAAUUUAGCAUUCCUGCCUUGUAGCCUACACCUUUUGGUGAAACAUGAUGAUGAUGUUGGAACAAACAUUGAAGUAUGCUAACAAUUGUCUGUAACUGAUAUUUAUACUUUCUAGAGGGAAUAGGUCUUCAUUUUCUUAGGGUUUGUACUUGAUUAUAAACUGGGUGGAUCGGGCCUUGAAUGCUGCUUGGCUUACAGCCAUGGUAUAUCAGACCGUAUACCACGUGUAUGACAAAACAUUUAUUUUUACUGCUCUAAUUACAUUGGUAACCAGUUUAUAAUAACAAUAAGGUACCUC